UCUAAAAAAUGCUGGGUUGUUUCUGUAAACACAUUGUUGGGUUGUUUAUGCUGGGUCAAAAUUCUGGGUUGUUUGGAGUACUUUAAACACACUGUUGGGUUGCUCAUGCUGGGUCAAAUGAAAUGUAGUGGGUAAUUUACAAAUGAACACAUGGUUGGGUAAAUUUGACCCAGCAAAUGGUUUAUUUUCCUUUCAUUGGCUGGCCGUUUCUCAAGGCAGCCUUCACAAUGUUCAAAAUAUUAUCAUUUAAAUAUUACCAAAUGUAGUUUUAAGAGUUUUUUAGGCGACAAUGUAUGUGUGUAAAGUUCAAAACUUCGAUCGGUUUUUGAAGAUAGCGUAUAUUUAAAAAUGUGCUCCAACGAUGUCGAAGCUUCGAGAUUCAGGCAAUCACUGGGCGCUCUGCGCUGAUGUACCCGCCCAACACAGCCUCACCUCGGCACGUCAUUCUGGAAAUCACCGCUGGCUGUAAUGUCUCUGUAGUGUUUAGAACGGCGGAUUUAUUUCAUUUCGGGUCUCAUAAAUCUAUUAUUUGUUCCUUGCCAAGUCCGAAUUAAGUUACGUUACUGUAAGGAUGCAAGUUCUGCCAUUUUUUGUCGAACUUUCUGGAGGACUUCAUUUCCUCUGAAGCGAGGUGCACGCCACUCAAAGCGGGCAGUAUUUUAUGCCAGGAUCAUUUUGAAAAACAAACACCUGGUUGGGUUAUUUUGACCCAGCAAUUGGUUUAUUAAUUGCCGCACUUUCUGGAUUCUUCGCUUCUGACUGGAUCACGCUACUCGGACCAGGCGGUAUUUCAUGAGUUCAGUAGAAUCCACUGAAUUGACCCCAACAGAUCAUAUCACCAUGACAGUGGAACUUUUUUCAGCCUUUGCAGUUUGUCAGAUUUUGGAAAGCACCCCUGAGAGGAAAUCCGUAUUAAACAGUUAAAGUGCAAGCAAUUACCAACAAGCAGAGGAGGCUACUUGUGAGACUCCUUGCAUCCCAUCUGCUGGAAACCAAUGGUGAAACCUGACUGCUAAAGGGGAAACAGCACUGAAGAUGCCAACUCUGCUAGCUCCAUCCAUUUACAGGGGAGGAGGAGAAGUCUUCAGACCUACCACUGUGGAGGCCCAGAGGUCCUUUAUUGACAUCCAACCUGUGGGGACCAACAUGGUGGAAUAUCUGCAAAAUCAGAGAUGUUGCACGUUUUGUGACUUGGGGACGAGCCAAGAAGGACCUGCCAGACCUUUGCCAUUGUUGGAGGCAAUGCCUCUGAGACAAACUCUUUGGUGAAGGAUGUUGAUAAGUUUUUUUUUGUCUUUGAUGUUAACUACACAAAGCAAUAGGUGUGUUCGACUUCAUGCAGCGCUGCGCAGACCGAUCGGCAGGUGACUUGAAGCAGUGCAUUUUGGUUAGUACUUUUGUCCGACUUCAGCUGGCGCUGCAGGCACGUGACUGUGUCAUAUGGUUUUUAAGUACCGCGAGAGCGUUUCGAGAGUAGCCAGCUGGCUCAGCCGGUGCAGCUUCUCCAGAGAGGCUGCCCGGAGUUGUGAUGACGUAACAGCUUUACUUGAUUGGUCGCUUCAUUGAUGACAACGAUCACGUGCGUUUCAAGUUUAAUCCAACCUUUAGUUUCACUAAUAAACAUUAUAAAUUCAUGUUUUAAAACAGGAAAAAAACACUUUAAUAUCCUAAAAUAUGUUAUAUUGUGUCGUGUAAUAAAAUAAAAAUGAAAAUAACAAACUCUAUUGGUAUUUUAAUAAUAUAGGCUUGUUUCCCGUUAUUUUCGGGUAUACAGUUUAAGCAGCAAUUAAAAUAUUCGAUAUAAAAUGUUUCUGGUUGCAACUUUUUAUCAAAAGGUUUGUUUUUAUCAAAUUCAGCAUCUAAUUCACUUAAUUUGCGAUUAUAAACAAGGAAACACGGCGCACACGUCACUACGGCAAGCAGCAGGUGUCCGGCUUGACGGCUCCGUCUUCAGUUCCUCCCUCGACUGCAAGCGGCAAACCUCGUCGAUCGGUCUGCGCAGCGCCGGAUGAUCUCGAACACACCUAUUGUCUUCCCACCUGGGAGUUUCACCAGGAUGCCAUUUAUCAGAUUGAUGGACAUGAGUCCUCCUCUGUUAACAUUUUGAGGACAACAUUUAAUCACUAAUAAUUAACUAUUUCAGUGCUAUGUUUGAAAGAUUCGCCCACAAUGCAAUGCCAACAGGAGUUUACUUACAGGCUGUGAGGUCAAGUGGGAGGAAUUAUGAUAAUUUCGGUCUUGUCUACGUCACCAAUCCCAGGAAGUAAACUGUUGCCUACAAUCUGUGUUUGUUGUAGUCCAAGAAAAGAGAUCACUCGCAUUAUCGUUUACUUUGGGGUUUGUACCUUUUGCAUAUCGUUAACAUGAAUUAAUACACAAUUACACACCAAAGGAAAUGUAAAAAUGUGAAUCGGACCAUAGCUGCUCUUUAAAAAAAUUUUUGUUUCAGGGCUUCUUGUUUUUAAUAACAUUUUGAUGAAUGAAAAUGUAAAGUAAAUGAAAUGCUAAUCAUCAUAGUUUAAAUAUUAAGAGUUAUAAAGUCCGUGGGAAUUGUUUGAUGUCAUAAUGGGGUUGUAACUUUUGUAUUAUACAAAUAUACAAAAAUGUAAUUAAAACAUUGUAUUAAAUGUAAAAAAAAAAUUAAAUGCAAUUUAAAUCACAUUAACAGGGGCCU